AACGAACGCUGGCGGCGUGCCUAACACAUGCAAGUCGAACGGGAAAACCCGCAAGGGUGAGUACAGUGGCGCACGGGUGCGUAACACGUGGGUAAUCUGCCCAGAAGCCCGGAAUAACUCCCCGAAAGGGGUGCUAAUGCCGGAUGAGACCACGGGGACUUCGGUUCCUGGGGGAAAAGGUGGCCUCUGUAUACAAGCUAUCACUUCUGGAUGAGCCCGCGGCCCAUCAGCUAGUUGGCGGGGUAAUGGCCCACCAAGGCUACGACGGGUAGCUGGUCUGAGAGGACGAUCAGCCACACUGGAACUGAGACACGGUCCAGACUCCUACGGGAGGCAGCAGUGGGGAAUCUUGCGCAAUGGGCGAAAGCCUGACGCAGCAACGCCGCGUGUGUGAUGAAGGUCUUCGGAUCGUAAAGCACUGUCGGGAGGGACGAGUAAGGGCCGGGUGAACAAUCCGGUUCGACGACGGUACCUCCAGAGGAAGCACCGGCUAACUCUGUGCCAGCCGCCGCGGUAAAAC
rnacentral:rRNA from 1 species